rnacentral:rRNA from 1 species
UACGAAGGGGGCUAGCGUUGCUCGGAAUCACUGGGCGUAAAGGGUGCGUAGGCGGGUCUUUAAGUCAGGGGUGAAAUCCUGGAGCUCAACUCCAGAACUGCCUUUGAUACUGAAGAUCUUGAGUUCGGGAGAGGUGAGUGGAACUGCGAGUGUAGAGGUGAAGUUCGUAGAUAUUCGGAAGAACACCAGUGGCGAAGGCGGCUCACUGGACCGGUAUUGACGCUGAGGUGCGAAAGCGUGGGGAGCAAACAGG